rnacentral:rRNA from 1 species
CAUACAAACAGUAGGAGCCUCCUUGUGGGGUGACUGCGUACCUUUUGUAUAAUGGGUCAGCGACUUACAUUCAGUGGCAAGGUUAACCGAUAGGGAAGCCGUAGAGAAAUCGAGUCCGAAUAGGGCGUUUAGUCGCUGGGUGUAGACCCGAAACCAAGUGAUCUAUCCAUGGCCAGGAUGAAGGUGCCGUAACAGGUACUGGAGGUCCGAACCCACAAAUGUUGAAAAAUUUGGGGAUGAGCUGUGGAUAGGGGUGAAAGGCUAAACAAACUUGGAGAUAGCUGGUUCUCUCCGAAAACUAUUUAGGUAGUGCCUCGUAUAUCAUUCUCGGGGGUAGAGCACUGUUAUGGCUAGGGGGUUCAUAAGAACUUACCAAACCAUUGCAAACUCCGAAUACUGAGAAAUGCAAUUACGGGAGACAGUCCAUGGGUGCUAACGUCCGUGGACAAGAGGGAAACAACCCAGACCGACAGCUAAGGUCCCAAAUGACGUGCUAAGUGGAAAACGAAGUGGGAAGGCAUAGACAGCCAGGAUGUUGGCUUAGAAGCAGCCAUCAUUUAAAGAAAGCGUAAUAGC